GACGAACGCUGGCGGCGUGCUUAACACAUGCAUGUCGAACGGAAAGGCCUAGCUUGCUGGGUACUCGAGUGGCGAACGGGUGAGUAACACGUGGGUGAUCUGCCCCUGACUUUGGGAUAAGCCUGGGAAACUGGGUCUAAUACCGGAUAUUCAUUUUUCCUCGCAUGGGGAUUUGUGGAAAGCUUUUGCGGUUGGGGAUGGGCCCGCGGCCUAUCAGCUUGUUGGUGGGGUAAUGGCCUACCAAGGCGACGACGGGUAGCCGACCUGAGAGGGUGAUCGGCCACACUGGGACUGAGACACGGCCCAGACUCCUACGGGAGGCAGCAGUGGGGAAUAUUGCACAAUGGGCGCAAGCCUGAUGCAGCGACGCCGCGUGAGGGAUGACGGCCUUCGGGUUGUAAACCUCUUUCAGCUCCGACGAAGCGCAAGUGACGGUAGGAGCAGAAGAAGCACCGGCCAACUACGUG
rnacentral:rRNA from 1 species